GUCUUCAGAACUCCGAUCUCUUACCUCCUCGUGGUGUCAGCUGGAAUGUGAACGUUAUACUUUUUAUGCAACGUUCAUAUACAGAAAGAGACGG
rfam:Anopheles epiroticus strain epiroticus2 unplaced genomic scaffold supercont1.810, whole genome shotgun sequence.